rnacentral:rRNA from 1 species
UACGUAGGGUGCAAGCGUUAAUCGGAAUUACUGGGCGUAAAGCGUGCGCAGGCGGUUUUGUAAGUUUGUCGUGAAAGCCCCGGGCUCAACCUGGGAAUUGCGAUGAAGACUGCAAGGCUUGAAUCUGGCAGAGGGGGGUAGAAUUCCACGUGUAGCAGUGAAAUGCGUAGAGAUGUGGAGGAACACCGAUGGCGAAGGCAGCCCCCUGGGUCAAGAUUAACGCUCAUGCACGAAAGCGUGGGGAGCAAACUGG